rnacentral:rRNA from 1 species
AUUGAACGCUGGCGGCAGGCCUAACACAUGCAAGUCGAGCGGGGUUUUCGGAUCUAGCGGCGGACGGGCGAGUAAUGCGUAGGAAGCUGCCCGAUAGAGGGGGAUACCAGUUGGAAACGACUGUUAAUACCGCAUAAUGUCUACGGACCAAAGUGUGGGACCUUCGGGCCACAUGCUAUCGGAUGCGCCUACGUGGGAUUAGCUAGUUGGUGAGGUAAUGGCUCACCAAGGCGACGAUCUCUAGCUGGUUUGAGGGGAUGAUCAGCCACACUGGAACUGAGGCACGGCCCAGACUCCUACGGGGGGCAGCAGUGGGGAAUAUUGGACAAUGGGGGCAAGCCGGAUCCAGCAAUGCGGCGUGUGUGAAGAAGGCCUUCGGGUUGUAAAGCACUUUCAGCGAGGAGGAAGGGUGGUGUGUUAAUAGCACAUCAGUUUGACGUUACUCGCAGAAGAAGCACCGGCUAACUCUGUGCCAGCCGCCGCAGUAACAC